rnacentral:rRNA from 1 species
AGUGAACGCUGGCGGUAGACCUAACACAUGCAAGUCGAACGGCAGCACAGUAAGAGCUUGCUCUUACGGGUGGCGAGUGGCGGACGGGUGAGGAAUACAUCGGAAUCUACUUUUUCGCGGGGGAUAACGUAGGGAAACUUACGCUAAUACCGCAUACGACCUACGGGUGAAAGCAGGGGAUCUUCGGACCUUGCGCGAUUGAAUGAGCCGAUGUCGGAUUAGCUAGUUGGCGGGGUAAAGGCCCACCAAGGCGACGAUCCGUAGCUGGUCUGAGAGGAUGAUCAGCCACACUGGAACUGAGACACGGUCCAGACUCCUACGGGAGGCAGCAGUGGGGAAUAUUGGACAAUGGGCGCAAGCCUGAUCCAGCCAUACCGCGUGGGUGAAGAAGGCCUUCGGGUUGUAAAGCCCUUUUGUUGGGAAAGAAAAGCAGCAGGUUAAUACCCCGCUGUUCUGACGGUACCCAAAGAAUAAGCACCGGCUAACUUCGUG